UAGUUCUAACAGUGACUGCUUUUGAAGAAACAGGAAACGCAGGGGCCACAUGCAAAAGUGAAACUAUGCUCUGAUCAUACCAGAUUGCAGAGAACUGGUGUCCUCUCUUUCUGGAUGAAAAAAAAUCUCAAAUUCUGUCUGAACAAGCUCUCUCCAAUGCUUCAAGGCCGUUUUUAAAGCUCUUUCCCACGGGUGAGGAAGAAGGUGCUGCAUUCUUGAAGGGACCUUUAAAAUCCCACUCGACUCUGCACUGUUUAGAACUCUCCCUCGUUCAAAAUGCUACCAGCUUGAGAGACAGCCCUGGAGAUACUUGGAUCCACAAGGAAAAAAAUCAUGUCCCUUUUUCCUGAAUAAAAGUUUCCAGCUACUCCA